rnacentral:rRNA from 1 species
CAGCAGCCGCGGUAAAACGGAGGGUGCAAGCGUUAAUCGGAAUUACUGGGCGUAAAGCGCACGCAGGCGGUCUGUCAAGUCGGAUGUGAAAUCCCCGGGCUCAACCUGGGAACUGCAUUCGAAACUGGCAGGCUAGAGUCUUGUAGAGGGGGGUAGAAUUCCAGGUGUAGCGGUGAAAUGCGUAGAGAUCUGGAGGAAUACCGGUGGCGAAGGCGGCCCCCUGGACAAAGACUGACGCUCAGGUGCGAAAGCGUGGGGAGCAAACAGGAUUAGAUACCCCGGUAGUCCCUGUCUCUUAUAC